rnacentral:rRNA from 1 species
UACAGAGGAGCCAAGCGUUGUCCGGAAUCAUUGGGCGUAAAGAGCGCGUAGGCGGCCCGGUAAGUCCGCUGGGAAAGUCAAAGGCUCAACCUUUGAAUGUCAGUGGAUACUGCCGGGCUAGAGUCCGGAAGAGGCGAGCGGAAUUCCUGGUGUAGCGGUGGAAUGCGCAGAUAUCAGGAGGAACACCAACGGCGAAGGCAGCUCGCUAGGACGGUACUGACGCUGAGGCGCGAAAGCGUGGGGAGCAAACAGG